GUCUACGGCCAUGUCACCCUGAACGAGCCUGAUGUCGGAAGCUAAGCAGGGUCAGGCCUGGUUAGUCCUUGCAUGGGAGACCACCUAGGAAGACCGGGCCUGUUGGCG
rnacentral:rRNA from 1 species